rnacentral:rRNA from 1 species
GAGUUUGAUCAUGGCUCAGAUUGAACGCUGGCGGCAGGCCUAACACAUGCAAGUCGAGCGGAUGACGGGAGCUUGCUCCUUGAUUCAGCGGCGGACGGGUGAGUAAUGCCUAGGAAUCUGCCUGGUAGUGGGGGACAACGUUUCGAAGGAACGCUAAUACCGCAUACGUCCUACGGGAGAAAGCAGGGGACCUUCGGGCCUUGCGCUAUCAGAUGAGCCUAGGUCGGAUUAGCUAGUUGGUGGGGUAAUGGCUCACCAAGGCGACGAUCCGUAACUGGUCUGAGAGGAUGAUCAGUCACACUGGAACUGAGACACGGUCCAGACUCCUACGGGAGGCAGCAGUGGGGAAUAUUGGACAAUGGGCGAAAGCCUGAUCCAGCCAUGCCGCGUGUGUGAAGAAGGUCUUCGGAUUGUAAAGCACUUUAAGUUGGGAGGAAGGGCAGUAAGUUAAUACCUUGCUGUUUUGACGUUACCGACAGAAUAAGCACCGGCUAACUCUGUGCCAGCCGCCG